CAUCAAGUAGCCAAUGUUAGUACACAUUGACAUUUUUUUUGUUAUACACAUCGAAAUGUUGGAGAAGGAUUACGAGACUCAUGAGGAUUUGUUUUUCUGUGCUGGUUAGUAUUGCCCAGAGACGCCGGUUAGCCUAUGGAAAUGAAGAAAGAUUUUAAAUCAUCCGGAUAUUAAGAAAAAAAAUCCGUUACCGUUUGCAAACAUACCGGCUAUGUCUUCUUAGGGAUACGAAACCUCGAACUGGUCAAAAUAACAAGGUAACGAUACCGGUAAGAUAGGAAUUUGACUAUAAAAUUCUAACUACCGUAAGGAAAUAUUCUCACCAACCUUUCAUCGCAAAGUCCGUGAUAAAUAAUUGUAGUGAAUCGAGUGAAAUCAAUCUAUUGGAUUACGAAGAAUCCAUCGCAAU